GACGUAGGUGACAAGCGUUGUCCGGAUUUACUGGGCGUAAAGAGCGCGCAGGCGGUCGAUCAAGUCGAGUGUGAAAGCCCCCGGCUCAACUGGGGAGGGUCACGCGAUACUGAUCGACUCGAAGGCAGGAGAGGGUAGUGGAAUUCCCGGUGUAGUGGUGAAAUGCGUAGAUAUCGGGAGGAACACCAGUGGCGAAGGCGACUACCUGGCCUGUUCUUGACGCUGAGGCGCGAAAGCUAGGGGAGCAACGGG
rnacentral:rRNA from 1 species